GGCAAGUAUAUAAAGAGACUAUUAUGGAGAAUAUACUGUAUAUUAAACCUUUAGCACCUGGAGUAGUAUGUAAUCAUGCUUUUUAUUAAAAAAAUUAAGUAUAUUACAUAUAAGGACUAAAGGUAGAAAAUUUUCUAAAAAAAAACGGAGUGAAUUGAAGUAUCUUAUUAGCUUCAGGAAAAUAAAUCAAACGAGAUUCUAUUAGUAGUGUGAAUGAAAAUAGAUAUAGGCUUAAAGUAAAAUGGAUACAUCUGUUUGAAUAUAGGGGAACCUUCCUCUAAGCCUUAAUAUAAUAUACAAGAAAUAGAGAAAAGUACUGUGAAGGAAAUUACGUAAACAGUAGUCUUAUAAGCAGCUCAAGAUAUGUUUAAUAAACAUAUGAGAGUGUACCUUUUGUAUAAUGGGUCAGCAAGUUCUAGUUAGAUGCAAGCAAAUUAGGAUUAGUAGUGAUAUAGGAUAAUUAUUAAGCUACAAUAAAAAAAAAUCCAUUUGCCCAGAUAAUCCAAUUAUUAAGUAAUGAAUUAGUAUCUAAUUAGAGACCCGAAGAGUAGUGAUCUUACCAUGGUCAGGCUUAUAAAAGGCCGAAUGGGUUAUCGUUGUAAAGAUAUCCAAAGAACUGUGGUAAGUUAGUGAAAGACAAUCCUGACUACUAUAGCUGGUUUUCCGCGAAACAUAUGUAAGUAUGUAGUUUAAAGCACAUCAUAGCAGGUACAGAACUGUAAUCUCGGACAACUUGUACAUUAUAACUCAUGAAUAAGAGUUUCUCUUAGGGUUGUAAUGACUUGUGCAUAUGGGGGGGUCGUGAAGACUCUAUUCGCGAGUAUUUGCUCUCGGAAGGGCAAUGAUGAAUGUUGGACUAUCAGACAUUUAACGAUAAGGUUGUAUGUCAAAAGGGAAACAGCCCAGAACAAGUGUUUAAGGUUCCAAAGUUUUUGUUAAGUGAAAGUAAGGAAGUAUUUAAACAAUACAACUAGGAAAUAGGCUUAGAAGCGGCCAUUUUUUAAAGAUCUCGUAACAGAGCACUGGUUCAAAAGGUUAAUUUAUUAACCUAAUUAGUUAAAAGCGCCGAAGAUAUAACGGAUCUAAAACAAAACACCGACACCUUGUCCAUAAUAAAAAGAUUAGGUUAAAUCCUUUUUAAUAUACUUAAAAAAAAUGAUUUAAGUAUUAUUUAUGGGGUAGCGGAACAUUGGGUAAAUGAAACUAACUUUAGAUAGAAUGGUUCAGGUUAUUUUUAUAAAAUUUAUAAUUUAUAUAAAAAAAAAACAUGGAAAAAUAAAAAUCAGAUAAAAACAAUUUCUGUACUAUCGACUCUUACGGUUACAUUUGUAAUCCGUUUGGUUAAAAAAAAGAAAGGAAUUCUAUAAUAUCCCAAGUGAGAAUGCUGACACGAGUAACGAAAAAGAGUACCUUUUUUUUCAAAUUUUUCAAUUUUUAUUGAAAAAAGGAUAAGGGCGCGAUCCCCAAAGGUGCAAUCCCUUUGGGAGCAAUCCCCUUUAAAAAAAAGGAUAAUCUCUCGCCUUAAGCUUAUGGAAUUUAUAGAAUCGGUCUCUAAAUUGAACCUAAAGGAUAAAAUGAUGAGGAUGAGGUAGUAUGUUAACAACAUAAAGAGUAUAAUGUUCUGGAAAAAAACAUAUGAGAAUACCGUACCUAAAAACUACCACAAGUAAGCUAGUAGAGAAUACGAAGGCGUUUGAGCUAACAAUCAUUAAGGAACUCGGCAAAUUGACACCGUAACUGAGGGAGAAGGUGUGCCAUUCCUACUGAUUAAUAUCAGUUUAGGAAGAGGAGACAUAAAAUGGUGUUGCACGACUGUUUAAUUAAAACACAGCACUUUGCGUAAGAUGUAAAUCAAUGUAUAGAGUGCGCUAUCUGCCCAAUGAUGGCUGGUUAACGGAUUUACUUAGGUGACUAAAACAAUCUAGGUUUUGAAGGAACCCCCAUUUAAUGGCGGCCUUACCUAUGAGGGUCCUAAGGUAGCGAAAUACCUUGGCAUUUAAAUGAUGUCGCGCAUGAAUGAUCUCACGAUGCAACAGCUGUCUCAAUGAUUGGCUCAGUGAAACUGGAAUGGCAGUGAAGAUACUGCCUAUCUCUAGAUAGACGAGAAGACCCCAUGCAGCUUUACUGUUACUAGUUAUAGGGUAUAAUGUAACAGGUAUUAGUGAAUAAGGUAGUUGAAUGACAUAAUUGAAACACCUUUACUCUGGUUGUUAUAUCAGUAGAAUAGGUUAUUAUUGUAACUGACGUCUGAAUGUAAUCCAAAAAAGGAGAUAAUACUCAGGAGACAAUGGCUAGCAGAUGGUUUAUGCGGGGCACAGAUCCCAUAAAGAGUACCUGGGAGUAUCCAAAUUUAUUAUUGUAAUAAGCUAUACGCAAUUUAUAUAAGGCUUUAAUUGUCAUAUAUAUUUGAAUUUAUAUAAUUAUUAUAUUUAGUUUGUUAUUUUUUAUAUUUACAGAGUUUUCUAAAAAAAAAUCGUAUCUAUAACUAAUUCAGUUAUAUCUCUAUUUAAGUUAGAAUUUAAACAAUUUAAUAUAAGUAAGAUUUUACCUAUGUGGAAAAUAGGUGUAUAUAGGGUAUUAGUAAUAUAUGUUUAAUAUAUAAUAUUAUAAUACGAUUAGUUAUUUUUUUUUAUAAAAAUGAUAUUGAUAUAUACUUCCAAAGUUUAAUGGCUUAAUCUUGCUUUACUGUUCGACAUACACGUCCAUCAGUUGCGUAAGCAGGGCAUAAAGACCGCAAGACGCAGUAAGGAAAGGUCUUGUAUUAUUGAAAAAAGCUACGCUGGGGAUAACAGGCUAAUUGCGCCAGAGAGUACAAAUUGAGUGCGCAGUUUGGCACCUCGAUGUCGGCUUAGCUCAUCCACAUGAAUGCAGGAAUCAUGAAGGGUACGACUGUUCGUCGAUUAAAGAGCUACACGAGCUGGGUUAAAUACGUCGUGAGACAGUAUGGUUUCUAUCUUCUAGAGGAAAUUAGAGUAAAAUAAGGAUAGCCCCUUCGUACGAAAGGAGUUGGGUAUGGUAACCUAUGGUUUACCUGUUGUUUAUACGCUGAAUAUUAAUCGUAAAAAUAUGAAAAUAGGUUUUUUUUAAAUAAAAGUAAUGUAAAUGAAUUCAAAAUCGUUUCCUAUUGUAAUAUAGAAUUGAGGUUAAUACUUUUAUACUCAAGUAUGUAAGUAAUCUAGUAUAGGCAGGGCAGGAAAGCUAUGUUAGUCAAGAUAAGUGCUGAAUGCAUCUAGGCACGAAGCUUGCCUUAGGAUACUCUUAGAAACGUAGUAUAACAUUACGACUCCAGAUUAUUAUAUUGUUACAAAUAGUUAACUCUAUAAUAAUGCGAAUAAGGAGGGAUAGGCUUUGGCUGAAAGGGCUUUGAUGUUCUUAGGUAUAAAGUACUAAGUGCUAGGUAAACCUUAUUUU
rnacentral:rRNA from 1 species